rnacentral:rRNA from 1 species
AAAUUGAAGAGUUUGAUCAUGGCUCAGAUUGAACGCUGGCGGCAGGCCUAACACAUGCAAGUCGAGCGGUAGCACAGAGAGCUUGCUCUCGGGUGACGAGCGGCGGACGGGUGAGUAAUGUCUGGGAAACUGCCUGAUGGAGGGGGAUAACUACUGGAAACGGUAGCUAAUACCGCAUAACGUCGCAAGACCAAAGUGGGGGACCUUCGGGCCUCAUGCCAUCAGAUGUGCCCAGAUGGGAUUAGCUAGUAGGUGGGGUAACGGCUCACCUAGGCGACGAUCCCUAGCUGGUCUGAGAGGAUGACCAGCCACACUGGAACUGAGACACGGUCCAGACUCCUACGGGAGGCAGCAGUGGGGAAUAUUGCACAAUGGGCGCAAGCCUGAUGCAGCCAUGCCGCGUGUGUGAAGAAGGCCUUCGGGUUGUAAAGCACUUUCAGCGGGGAGGAAGGCGUUAAGGUUAAUAACCUUGGCGAUUGACGUUACCCGCAGAAGAAGCACCGGCUAACUCCGUGCCAGCAGCCGCGGUAAUACGGAGGGUGCAAGCGUUAAUCGGAAUUACUGGGCGUAAAGCGCACGCAGGCGGUCUGUCAAGUCGGAUGUGAAAUCCCCGGGCUCAACCUGGGAACUGCAUUCGAAACUGGCAGGCUAGAGUCUUGUAGAGGGGGUAGAAUUCCAGGUGUAGCGGUGAAAUGCGUAGAGAUCUGGAGGAAUACCGGUGGCGAAGGCGGCCCCCUGGACAAAGACUGACGCUCAGGUGCGAAAGCGUGGGGAGCAAACAGGAUUAGAUACCCUGGUAGUCCACGCCGUAAACGAUGUCGAUUUGGAGGUUGUGCCCUUGAGGCGUGGCUUCCGGAGCUAACGCGUUAAAUCGACCGCCUGGGGAGUACGGCCGCAAGGUUAAAACUCAAAUGAAUUGACGGGGGCCCGCACAAGCGGUGGAGCAUGUGGUUUAAUUCGAUGCAACGCGAAGAACCUUACCUGGUCUUGACAUCCACAGAACUUUCCAGAGAUGGAUUGGUGCCUUCGGGAACUGUGAGACAGGUGCUGCAUGGCUGUCGUCAGCUCGUGUUGUGAAAUGUUGGGUUAAGUCCCGCAACGAGCGCAACCCUUAUCCUUUGUUGCCAGCGGUUAGGCCGGGAACUCAAAGGAGACUGCCAGUGAUAAACUGGAGGAAGGUGGGGAUGACGUCAAGUCAUCAUGGCCCUUACGACCAGGGCUACACACGUGCUACAAUGGCAUAUACAAAGAGAAGCGACCUCGCGAGAGCAAGCGGACCUCAUAAAGUAUGUCGUAGUCCGGAUUGGAGUCUGCAACUCGACUCCAUGAAGUCGGAAUCGCUAGUAAUCGUAGAUCAGAAUGCUACGGUGAAUACGUUCCCGGGCCUUGUACACACCGCCCGUCACACCAUGGGAGUGGGUUGCAAAAGAAGUAGGUAGCUUAACCUUCGGGAGGGCGCUUACCACUUUGUGAUUCAUGACUGGGGUGAAGUCGUAACAAGGUAACCGUAGGGGAACCUGCGGUUGGAUCACCUCCUUA